rnacentral:misc_RNA from 1 species
AACUCUCAACCCCCCUAUUUUGUAAUGAAAUGGGCGUGGGCUUGGAUUAUGGCUGUCUGUCGGCGUAAUAGCCGGCUCAGCUGAAAUACACGAGCUACCCUUUUGAAAUAAACGGUUUGACUCGGCGUAAUAAUUAUUUCGCUGAGGACGUUUUCUUCAAAUGUCAGAGGUGCUUCUAAUGCGCUUUUAAGCAACUUAAGCUU